CACCCAGAGAUUUGCCACCACUUUUCAAAUCAGCAAUUUCAGAGCAUGGCAGGGACAAAGAUGCUUUUGCUUCAACUUGCCAUAUUUUCAGCUGUUCUUGAAGGUGUCCAAUCAGAGGUCCAGCUGGUGGAGUCCGGAGGGGAUGUGAAAAAGCCUGGGCAGUCCCUCCGCCUCUCCUGUCGGGCCUCCGGCUUCACCUUCAGCAGCUACUACAUGAGCUGGGUGAGACAAGCCCCAGGAAAGGGACUGGAAUGGAUUGCAGGGAUAUACACUGAUGGGAGCCAGCAACAAUAUGCAGACACAGUGAAGGGGCGCUUCACCAUCUCCAGGGACAACCCCUCCAACAUGCUGUACGUGCAGAUGAACAACCUGAAAGCCGAGGACACGGCCGUGUAUUACUGUGCAAGGGACACAGUGGGAGGAAGUGAAUGUGCAGCCAGGCAAAAACCCUUCCAUGCUUCAGAGAACAUUCCAGGCUAA